GACGAACGCGGCGGCGUGCCUAAUACAUGCAAGUAGAACGCUGAAGGAGGAGCUUGCUUCUCUGGAUGAGUUGCGAACGGGUGAGUAACGCGUAGGUAACCUGCCUGGUAGCGGGGGAUAACUAUUGGAAACGAUAGCUAAUACCGCAUAAUAGCAGUUAUUGCAUGAUAACUGUUUAAAAGGUGCAAUUGCACCACUACCAGAUGGACCUGCGUUGUAUUAGCUAGUUGGUGGGGUAACGGCUCACCAAGGCGACGAUACAUAGCCGACCUGAGAGGGUGAUCGGCCACACUGGGACUGAGACACGGCCCAGACUCCUACGGGAGGCAGCAGUAGGGAAUCUUCGGCAAUGGACGAAAGUCUGACCGAGCAACGCCGCGUGAGUGAAGAAGGUUUUCGGAUCGUAAAGCUCUGUUGUAAGAGAAGAACGAGUGUGAGAGUGGAAAGUUUCACGCUGUG
rnacentral:rRNA from 1 species